CUCUUUCGCUAAGGAGCUCCUAUGCGAAAACUGACGGCUGCUCUUGCUCUGAUAGUUAGCCUGAUAGGGUUGAUUGCACUGUCCGUAUCGACCACGGCUGCUGCAUGUGACGGGUUUGGUUCUGGCUAUUCGAACCCAAAGUAACCGCCUCGCCCGAAUGUGCCUCGACGGGGCGGCGCCCGACUUGCGUUAUUUGCCGCUCUUC
rnacentral:ncRNA from 1 species